CAUCAACGCUGGCGGCGUGCCUAACACAUGCAAGUCGAGCGAGAAAAGGGGAGCAAUCCCCUGAGUACAGCGGCGCACGGGUGAGUAACACGUGGGUAAUCUGCCCUGGAGUGGGGAAUAACACCGGGAAACCGGUGCUAAUACCGCAUACGAUCACAGAGUCUGCGGAUUUUGUGAUGAAAGGAGCAAUUCGCUCUAGGAGGAGCCCGCGGCUGAUUAGCUAGUUGGUGAGGUAACGGCUCACCAAGGCAACGAUCAGUAUCCGGUCUGAGAGGACGGUCGGACACACUGGAACUGAGACACGGUCCAGACUCCUACGGGAGGCAGCAGUGGGGAAUUUUUGGCAAUGGGGGCAACCCUGACCAAGCAACGCCGCGUGGGUGAUGAAGUCUCUUGGGACGUAAAACCCUUUCGACGGGGACGAAACCGCAAGGUUGACGGUACCCGUAGAAGAAGCCCCGGCUAACUCCGUGCCAGCCGCCGCGGUAAGAC
rnacentral:rRNA from 1 species